CAGCAGCCGCGGGAAUACAGAGGGUGCAAGCGUUAAUCGGAUUUACUGGGCGUAAAGCGUGCGUAGGUGGCUGUUUAAGUCGGAUGUGGAAGCCCUGGGCUUAACCUGGGAACUGCAUUCGAUACUGGAUAGCUAGAGAUCGGUAGAGGGCAGCGGAAUUCCGGGUGUAGCGGUGAAAUGCGUAGAUAUCCGGAGGAACACCGAUGGCGAAGGCAACUGCCUGGGCCUGAUCUGACACUGAGGCACGAAAGCGUGGGUAGCAAACAGGAUUAGAUACCCCCGUAGUCCCUGUCUCUUAUAC
rnacentral:rRNA from 1 species